AAAAUAAUAUUCCACCUUAAAUUAUGAUCUGUUCUACUAAAUAAACGUGGCAAAAUAAUAUUCCACGUUAAAUUAUAAUUUGUUCGUGGUCCCUUUACAUGAACCGGACUCUGACUCUCAUGUGCGCAUAAGAUUGUACAAAAUUUGCUAUUAUAUAUCGACUCUGCAUCUACAAUCACAAGACAUCAAGUAAAGUAAAUAUUUUUUGGAGGAAGCAAAUGUUUUAUAGAUCCCGUGCGCAAGAAAAUCCUAAGACGCUUUAUCUGAUAAUUAAUUUAGAGAUUAAAUGCAUUUCAAAUGCUGACUCAGUCUGAUAAUUAAUUUUUUAUGUUCCAACUUACUUCAAAUAUGUCUCUAGAGUUAAAUUUUAUUAGCAAUAGCUAUUAUCUCUAUAAAAUUACUAUUUUACCCUUUCAAAUAUACUCUUCUACCAUCAUCGACUUUUUUUAUUUGCCCUUAAGUUAGGGGAACAAAAAAUAUUUUAUUUUUUGGUCUUUUCAAAUAUAUCUUUUUAUCAUCACCAACAUUUCUUAUUUAUCUUUAAGAUGAAUUUUAAUUUUUUUAACUCGGAUAGAUAUUUAACUUACGUAUAACCCAAGUUAACUUGGGUUAACUUAACGCGUGUUAACUGUAAGAAUAUUUUGGAAUAACAAACGUAUGAGGGAUAUAUUAAAAAAAAUAAAAUAAAAUAAAGACUAAAUUACAGAAAACCCCCUUGUAAUAACCCGUUUUUUCACUUUCCCUCCCUGACAUUUAAAAAUCUACACUUUGCCCCCCUGUAAAAUAAAAAAUAUGCACUUCAUCCCCUGCCGUUAAGGUUCCGUCAGGGUUCCGUUAAAAAAUAUUUUUUUAUGCUGAAAAUACCCCUCCGCCAUCUCCCUGUUGCUUCGACUCCCUCCGGCUAGCCACCUCACCGCCGCCUCGCCGCCUCGCCGCCUAGCUGCCUCGCCGUCCUCCACUGCCUUGCCCUCACCCACAUCCCCUUUGCCGUCCUCCGCCGCCUCGCCUUCGCCUUCUUUGCCCUUCUCUUACUGUCGCCCAUCUUGGUUUUCUCCUACUGUCGCCGAAAUCGAGGGCGGCGAGGGUGCAGGAGGAGAAGGGGAGCAGGUGGAGAAGGAAACGGAGAGAAAUCGCGGCCGAUUGGGAUGGGAAUCGCGGCCGAACGAAGGGGCGGCUGAGAAAGAUGGGGAAGAAGACGACAAUGGCGAGGGGCAAAAUGGUCAUUUUAUACACCGUAACCCCCCUAUGAACAUUUUGCAUUUUAUAGGGGGGCAAAGCGUAGGUUUUUAAAUGUCAGGGGGGGAAAGUGAAAAAACAGGUUAUUACAGGGGGGUUUUCUGUAAUUUAGCCUAAAAUAAAAUAUUUUGGAAAUUUUAAAGAGUUAUAUAAACAGUUAUUUUAUUUUUUUUUUAAGUGGGAGGGUACUGUUCAAUGUAG
rnacentral:lncRNA from 1 species